GACGAACGCUGGCGGCGUGCUUAACACAUGCAAGUCGAACGGAAAGGCCCUGCUUUUGUGGGGUGCUCGAGUGGCGAACGGGUGAGUAACACGUGAGUAACCUGCCCUUGACUUUGGGAUAACUUCAGGAAGCUGGGGCUAAUACCGGAUAGGAGCUCCUGCUGCAUGGUGGGGGUUGGAAAGUUUCGGCGGUUGGGGAUGGACUCGCGGCUUAUCAGCUUGUUGGUGGGGUAGUGGCUUACCAAGGCUUUGACGGGUAGCCGGCCUGAGAGGGUGACCGGCCACAUUGGGACUGAGAUACGGCCCAGACUCCUACGGGAGGCAGCAGUGGGGAAUAUUGCACAAUGGGCGGAAGCCUGAUGCAGCAACGCCGCGUGCGGGAUGACGGCCUUCGGGUUGUAAACCGCUUUCGCCUGUGACGAAGCGUGAGUGACGGUAAUGGGUAAAGAAGCACCGGCUAACUGCGU
rnacentral:rRNA from 1 species